AGAGCGAACGCUGGCGGCAGGCCUAACACAUGCAAGUCGAACGAUCCUUCGGGAUAGUGGCGGACGGGUGAGUAACACGUGGGAACGUGCCUUUUGGUUCGGAAUAACGCAGGGAAACUUGCGCUAAUACCGGAUGAGCCCUACGGGGGAAAGAUUUAUCGCCGAAAGAGCGGCCCGCGUUAGAUUAGCUAGUUGGUGGGGUAAAGGCCCACCAAGGCUCCGAUCUAUAGCUGGUCUGAGAGGAUGAUCAGCCACACUUGGACUGAGACACGGCCCAGACUCCUACGGGAGGCAGCAGUGGGGAAUCUUGCGCAAUGGGCGAAAGCCUGACGCAGCCAUGCCGCGUGAAUGAUGAAGGUCUUAGGAUUGUAAAAUUCUUUUAGCAGGGACGAUAAUGACGGUACCUGCAGAAAAGCCCGGCUAACUUCGCGCCAGCAGCCGC
rnacentral:rRNA from 1 species